UGGGCAUUUAAAAAGUGGAUCUGAGUGCCACGUUGGAUGUGAAGAAAGCCAGAGUUGUUAUGGUUGUGUUCCCCGGCCUGAGAAAUGAACUGGCUCCUUUCACCAGGACGGUCUGAGGAACAAUGAAGCUACAAACGGUACCGGACACAUAAAACACACAACAAUGGGGUCCAUGGCAUUUUCAGAGAACUGGUGUGGUUCUUGUUGGAGAAAUUCUCUCUCAAAACAAGAGUCCAAUGGCUGAGACUCUUGGUGAUAAAUAGCUUGCUGUGACAGAGGAACCAUCCUGCUCCCCCACCCCAGUGCCCAGAAUCAAAGCAGGAAGAAGGAGAAGAUCCCAGCAGCAGAGCGGAGGGAUCCUCACAGGACCACAUUUCAUCCUCUCAGAAGAGCCUGUCACCCUGACAUGUUACUGAUUUGAACCUGCUUACCCCAGAUCUACCCGAAUGAAUUAAACAUCCGCUCCGGUGAUGGUUGGUGAGUUUCUUUAAGCUGUCCUUGAGAGACAACUUUUGGUUCCCUUUUCACUUUCUAAAAUAUUGACCAAAGGUGCUUAGGAGCCCAGGACCCAGGACCCAGGACCCAACACCCCUCCC
rnacentral:lncRNA from 1 species